rnacentral:rRNA from 1 species
AUUAUACCGUGAAACUGCGAAUGGCUCAUUAAAUCAGUUAUCGUUUAUUUGAUAAUACCUUACUACUUGGAUAACCGUGGUAAUUCUAGAGCUAAUACAUGCUGAAAAUCCCGACUUCGGAAGGGAUGUGUUUAUUAGAUAAAAAACCAAUGCCCUUCGGGGCUUUUUGGUGAUUCAUGAUAACUUUACGGAUCGCAUAGCCUUGCGCUGGCGACGGUUCAUUCAAAUUUCUGCCCUAUCAACUUUCGAUGGUAAGGUAUUGGCUUACCAUGGUUUCAACGGGUAACGGGGAAUUAGGGUUCGAUUCCGGAGAGGGAGCCUGAGAAACGGCUACCACAUCCAAGGAAGGCAGCAGGCGCGCAAAUUACCCAAUCCCGACACGGGGAGGUAGUGACAAUAAAUACUGAUACAGGGCUCUUUUGGGUCUUGUAAUUGGAAUGAGUACAAUUUAAACCUCUUAACGAGGAACAAUUGGAGGGCAAGUCUGGUGCCAGCAGCCGCGGUAAUUCCAGCUCCAAUAGCGUAUAUUAAAGUUGUUGCAGUUAAAAAGCUCGUAGUUGAAACUUGGGCCUGGCUGGCGGGUCCGCCUCACCGCGUGCACUCGUCCGGCCGGGCCUUCCUUCUGAAGAACCUCAUGCCCUUCACUGGGCGUGCUGGGGAAUCAGGACUUUUACUUUGAAAAAAUUAGAGUGUUCAAAGCAGGCCUUUGCUCGAAUACGUUAGCAUGGAAUAAUAAAAUAGGGCGUGCGUUUCUAUUUUGUUGGUUUCUAGAGACGCCGCAAUGAUUAACAGGAACAGUCGGGGGCAUCAGUAUUCAGUUGUCAGAGGUGAAAUUCUUGGAUUUACUGAAGACUAACUACUGCGAAAGCAUUUGCCAAGGAUGUUUUCAUUAAUCAGUGAACGAAAGUUAGGGGAUCGAAGACGAUCAGAUACCGUCGUAGUCUUAACCGUAAACUAUGCCGACUAGGGAUCGGGCGAUGUUCUUUUUCUGACUCGCUCGGCACCUUACGAGAAAUCAAA